GACGUAGGGCGCAAGCGUUGUCCGGAUUUAUUGGGCGUAAAGGGCUCGUAGGCGGUUUGUCGCGUCGGGAGUGAAAACCUACAGCUUAACUGUGGGCUUGCUUUCGAUACGGGCAGACUAGAGGUAUGCAGGGGAGAACGGAAUUCCUGGUGUAGCGGUGAAAUGCGCAGAUAUCAGGAGGAACACCGGUGGCGAAGGCGGUUCUCUGGGCAUGAUCUGACGCUGAGGAGCGAAAGCGUGGGGAGCGAACAGG
rnacentral:rRNA from 1 species